GGGUUGUGAGGUUAAGCGACUAAGCGUACACGGUGGAUGCCCUGGCAGUCAGAGGCGAUGAAGGACGUGCUAAUCUGCGAUAAGCGUCGGUAAGGUGAUAUGAACCGUUAUAACCGGCGAUUUCCGAAUGGGGAAACCCAGUGUGUUUCGACACACUAUCAUUAACUGAAUCCAUAGGUUAAUGGGGCGAACCGGGGGAACUGAAACAUCUAAGUACCCCGAGGAAAAGAAAUCAACCGAGAUUCCCCCAGUAGCGGCGAGCGAACGGGGAGGAGCCCAGAGCCUGAAUCAGUGUGUGUGUUAGUGGAAGCGUCUGGAAAGGCGCGCGAUACAGGGUGACAGCCCCGUACACAAAAAUGCACAUGCUGUGAGCUCGAUGAGUAGGGCGGGACACGUGGUAUCCUGUCUGAAUAUGGGGGGACCAUCCUCCAAGGCUAAAUACUCCUGACUGACCGAUAGUGAACCAGUACCGUGAGGGAAAGGCGAAAAGAACCCCGGCGAGGGGAGUGAAAAAGAACCUGAAACCGUGUACGUACAAGCAGUGGGAGCAUGCUUAGGCGUGUGACUGCGUACCUUUUGUAUAAUGGGUCAGCGACUUAUAUUCUGUAGCAAGGUUAACCGAAUAGGGGAGCCGAAGGGAAACCGAGUCUUAACUGGGCGUUAAGUUGCAGGGUAUAGACCCGAAACCCGGUGAUCUAGCCAUGGGCAGGUUGAAGGUUGGGUAACACUAACUGGAGGACCGAACCGACUAAUGUUGAAAAAUUAGCGGAUGACUUGUGGCUGGGGGUGAAAGGCCAAUCAAACCGGGAGAUAGCUGGUUCUCCCCGAAAGCUAUUUAGGUAGCGCCUCGUGAA
rnacentral:rRNA from 1 species